UUCCGAUCAGCGCUUGGUCCUGCUUCGAAUCUGCGCCCCCAGAACCCUCUCCUCGCCGCGUUCUCGUCCUUUGUGAGCUCAUCUAAUCUUCUGGUUCUCAAUGUCCCGUACUCAAAAAUUCUGUUGAGGGCAAGAAGGCGGCCGUUUGAAUGUGAGACGACACAACGCUAAAGUGAUAAUCGAGUGCCUGCCGGGCGGGCUCGGGAAGCCGGCACGGCGGAGGCCUUCCUGGAGGAGGCGCGGUGCUUCCCAGAUGCCUCCGGGGCGUCGGCUCCCUCGCCCGCCUUCGGCCUCCUCACUCUGGAGAGACCCCAGCUUCUCCCUACACGCCGUGUCGGGCCGCGGACCCCGGCUCCUCACCCCACAACCCCCAACUUCCGGCGAAUUUGCUCUUUAAUCUCAAGAAAACCCGAGCCAGGGGCGCCGACGAGGCCAGAACCUGCCGUUUUUCUCCGGACGUAACGGCCAGCACAUGCGCGGUCGGCGUCACCGAAGUCCGACCCUAGUGGCUCCGCAAGGGGAUCUGUUUAAACCGUAGAAAAGCCCCCUGGGGUUACCGGCCCCGGAACCGCGGCGCCGGGAAGCGACCAUCCGCCCGAGGGGCGCCCGGAGUCGGGAAGACUGGGGGGCGGGUGGAGCGGCGCUGCAGCCCUCACUAGGGCUUUAUGCUCACAGAGUGGGGCGAGUUUGGGGGGAGCCGAUUUCAAAGUCGGUUCCCGGGCUCCCUCCCUUGCCGCCCACCUGCAGGAGGGGCCCAGCAAGCUGACGGGUCACCCUCGCGGCGUCCGCCAUGGGAGGGGCGCGGGCAGGAGCCUCUCCGCGCUGCUGGCGGGCGCCGGGGAGUGACGUCACGCACGCUUCGGAGGCUCCGACUGUAAAGCGCGCGCACGAGGCCACCAGCCUGCUGUCAUCAGGGCCACACGGGCACCCUGUCGGUCUCUUCCACGGCUUUGGGGCUCUCCUGUCGUGUAUCAGCAUCUUCCAACCGGCUGGAAUUGGUGUGCUGGCAUGCUGACUAUUUACCAGUGCAGUACUGGAUCAGAAUCUGUUGUCCAUUUCUUUCUUUGACCUGCCUCCAAUCAUUGCUCCAAGACCCUUCAAAACUAGAGUAUAGAGUUUAGCCUUGGAACAGAAAUGAACUUUACUUAUUGUUCCCAAAGACCACACUCUGGAACUGGCAUGGCCUGGCAUCUGGAAAAGUCACUAAGCAUUGCAGUCUUGUUCUCACCAUCAGAGCUCUGUUAUGUGUUCCCAUUCUCUCCAUUGGAAACUGCAGUAGUCCUCCCAACAUCAUAGGUAUGGGUUAACUAAU